rnacentral:lncRNA from 1 species
GAAAACUCAGGAUCAGAAGAGAGGGAAACAUAAGGAGGUGAUUCAGGUGCAGAGGAUGAAGAAGAAGAGGUGCUUUGGUGGGUAGAGGGAGGUAUAGAGGGAGGUAUGAAUGUUCUUGCUAUGUUUAGAACUGGUGUUGGUUGGGAGGUUCUGGUGAUUGAGGGUGUAAUGUCAGAGGUGGUAUAAAUGGGUUGAGAGGAGAGAGGGUUA